rnacentral:rRNA from 1 species
AUUGAACGCUGGCGGCAGGCCUAACACAUGCAAGUCGAACGAGUGGCGGACGGGUGAGUAAUGUCUGGGAAACUGCCUGAUGGAGGGGGAUAACUACUGGAAACGGUAGCUAAUACCGCAUACCAUCGGAUGUGCCCAGAUGGGAUUAGCUAGUUGGUGGGGUAACGGCUCACCUAGGCGACGAUCCCUGGCUGGUCUGAGAGGAUGACCGGCCACACGGGAACGGGGCCACGGUCCAGACUCCUCCGGGAGGAAGCAGUGGGGAAUAUUGCCCAAUGGGCGCAAGCCUGAUGCAGCCAUGCCGGGUGUAUGAAGAAGGCCUUCGGGUUGUAAAGUACUUUCAGCGGGGAGGCGUUACCCGCAGAAGAAGCACCGGCUAACUCCGUGCCAGCAGCCGCGGUAAUAC